CGAAGCUAGGUGGUGCUAUUAUGGCGGGGGAAGGGUCUACUUCUGCUCCAUCGGAAUGCUUUUGGUGGCAGGUCUUUCUAUUACCGAUAUGGACCUCAGGGUCUCAUUCUGUACCUAGGAGCUCGGACUGAGUCUAGUUUAGGUCCAUCCGAGGGUUUGCCUUUUCCUUCUGCACUUCUUCACUUUUCUGCUUUUUGGAUGGGUGCUCUCCCCCGAGUGAAGGCAUAA